rnacentral:rRNA from 1 species
UACGUAGGGGGCCAGCGUUGUUCGGAAUUACUGGGUGUAAAGGGUGCGUAGGCGGGUCUUUAAGUCAGGGGUGAAAUCCUGGAGCUCAACUCCAGAACUGCCUUUGAUACUGAAGAUCUUGAGUUCGGGAGAGGUGAGUGGAACUGCGAGUGUAGAGGUGAAAUUCGUAGAUAUUCGCAAGAACACCAGUGGCGAAGGCGGCUCACUGGCCCGAUACUGACGCUGAGGCACGAAAGCGUGGGGAGCAAACAGG